GGGAGCUUGCUCCGCUGACGAGUGGCGAACGGGUGAGUAAUGCAUCGGAACGUACCCAGUCGUGGGGGAUAACGUAGCGAAAGUUACGCUAAUACCGCAUACGUCCUGAGGGAGAAAGCGGGGGACCGAAAGGCCUCGCGCGAUUGGAGCGGCCGAUGUCGGAUUAGCUAGUUGGUGGGGUAAAGGCCUACCCAGGCGACGAUCCCGUAGCGGGUCUGAGAGGAUGAUCCGCCACACUGGGACUGAGACACGGCCCAGACUCCCUACGGGAGGCAGCAGUGGGGAAUUUUGGACAAUGGGGGCAACCCCUGAUCCAGCCAUGCCCGCGUGAGUGAAGAAGGCCUUCGGGUUGUAAAGCUCUUUCAGACGGAAAGAAAACGCAUCGGUGAAUACCCGAUGUGGAUGACGGUACCGUAAGAAGAAGCACCGGCUAACUACGUGCCAGCAGCCGCGGUAAUACGUAGGGUGCGAGCGUUAAUCGGAAUUACUGGGCGUAAAGCGUGCGCAGGCGGUUAUGUAAGACAGAUGUGAAAUCCCCGGGCUCACCUGGGAACUGCGUUUGUGACUGCAUAACUAGAGU
rnacentral:rRNA from 1 species